rnacentral:rRNA from 1 species
UGGGGAAUUUUGGACAAUGGGCGCAAGCCUGAUCCAGCAAUGCCGCGUGCAGGAUGAAGGCCUUCGGGUUGUAAACUGCUUUUGUACGGAACGAAAAGGUGCCUUCUAAUAAAGGGCGCUCAUGACGGUACCGUAAGAAUAAGCACCGGCUAACUACGUGCCAGCAGCCGCGGUAAUACGUAGGGUGCGAGCGUUAAUCGGAAUUACUGGGCGUAAAGCGUGCGCAGGCGGUUUUGUAAGACAGAGGUGAAAUCCCCGGGCUCAACCUGGGAACCGCCUUUGUGACUGCAAGGCUGGACUGCGGCAGAGGGGGAUGGAAUUCCGCGUGUAGCAGUGAAAUGCGUAGAUAUGCGGAGGAACACCGAUGGCGAAGGCAAUCCCCUGGGCCUGCACUGACGCUCAUGCACGAAAGCGUGGGGAGCAAACA